CGGGGCGUAGUGUAACGGACAGCACAGCGAUCUUCUAAAUCGCAGAGAGCAGGUUCGAAUCCUGCCGCCUCGGCCA
rnacentral:tRNA from 1 species